GGCCCCUAUAAAAUCUGUUUCAUUUUUUCUCAAAAUUCUGGUUUAAUUUUCCCACAAUUUUUUUUUUUUUUUUAAAUAUUUGAGAAUUCGGUUUUUAACAUUUUACGCAGAGACAGUGAAUUAAGAACUGAAAUGUAGACAAUAUAUUCAGUUAAAACUGAAAACUUCCAUACAUAGAACCUUAUUUCAGGCAAAAACAUGCUGCAUGAUAAAAACAUGGCAAUAUCUUUUCUUUUGUGUCCAAACAGAACAGUCAUUCAAAAAAAAAUUCAGGUUUGUUGGUUUAAAUUAAACAAAAUACAUGACUCAACAAAAAAUGUCGUUAGUUCUUUGUAAGAUCAAACUAAGUAAGAAUAGUCCUGUCAAUAUCUACUAACAAAGGUGCAUAACAAUUGCAACAGCCCGUGCAGUAAACAAUAAAAUAUUUUGGAAAUUCAACUUAACUUUGGUGGAAAUAUCAAAAACAUUGUAAACUUCAAUUCCAAGUGCAACUCGGAGCCUUAGCUUGCACAAACUCCUCGCUGAUGAGGAAGCAGCAUCUUCUCUUUCUAGCAGGCAGAUCUCAUCCAUGUCACAAUGGAGAAUGAUUUGCAGAGCUGCCAGGUCUCACCCACCAGCGUGAUGACAUGGCAGAGGCAGGUUACAUGUACGCUGUUGGGCAACACUCCUCUCAGAGCCUCCUGUAUUCCUUCAGACAGUGAGCAGCAUUAUCAGUCACCACGGCCCAGACGUCAUCACGCUCACAUCGUUGUGAUUGACAGAGAAUAGAAUGGCUUUGGAAGUAUUCACAUCUGUCCAUGAAGACAACAUCAAUCAGAAAGUACUGUUGUCCAACGCCUACGAUGAAAGAUAGAAAAUAAUAAUAACCAUGAUUAGUAUUGUGCGGCACGGUGGUGUGGUGGUUAGCACUGUCGCCUCACAGCAAGAAGGUCCUGGGUUCGAUUCCGCCAAGUGGCCUUUCUGUGUGGAGUCUGCAUGUUCUCCCCUCCAAAGACAUGCUCUGGGAUUAAUUGGGGACUCUAAAUUUCCCGUAGAUGUGUGAAUGUG
ensembl:lncRNA